rnacentral:lncRNA from 1 species
AGAGUCCAGCAAGGAGGGCUGGGAUUCACACUGAGCACGUGUGUCUGCCCAGGCUUGGNCUGUUUUCUGGGAUGGACUACCUGAAAUUCAUCACGGAAGGAGGCAGAGCAUUCCUGCCACUGGUGUCUGAUCUUCCCUGGGGACUUCAGUCCCUGGCAGUAGCAAUCUUUGCAUGUGCACUCAAGAGAGCUGCCACAAUAUGCGACAAAGAUCAAUG